CUGUGCAGAGAGGGCAUGAACUUCACAGCUGCAGUUCCUCUUCCAAGAACCACAAGGACUGGUGUUCCUCCCCAGCUUCCCGUGGGUCCCCCCAGCCUCCCUCCCACUGCCUUCCUCUUCUCCUUCACCCGCAGGAGGCCCACACACCCUCCAUCUCAAAGAUGGCUCCCACCGCUGCUGCUUCUGCCCCUGCUGUGGGCAGGGUCCCUGGCUCAGGAGUCAGAAUUCCGGCUGCAAGUGCAGGAGACCGUGACAGUGCAGGAGGGCCUGUGUGUGCGUGUGCCCUGCAGAUUCUCCCACCCCCAUCGUGGAUACACCGACGAUGACCCAGCUUAUGGCUACUGGUUCCGGGAAGGGAGCGAUUACAGCCAGCGUGUUCUAGUGGCCACAAACAACCCAGAUCAAAAAGUGCAGGAGGAGACCCAGGGCCGAUUCCAUCUCCUCGGGGACCCCCGGGACUACAACUGCUCCCUGGACGUCAGAGACGCACAGAGAAGGGACUCGGGGACAUACUUCUUUAGGGUGGAGAGAGGGUCUUAUGUGAGAUAUACUUACCGACAGAACCAGCUCUCCGUGCGUGUGACAGCCCUGACCCACACACCUGACAUCCUCAUCCCGGAGACUCUGGAGUGUGGCCGCCUCGGGAGCCUGACCUGCUCUGUGCCCUGGGCCUGUGAGUGGGGCACGCCCCCCAUCUUCUCCUGGACGUCAGCUGCCCUCACCACCCUGGGCCCCAGAACCCACCUCUCCUCGGUGCUCACCCUCACCCCACGGCCCCAGGACCAUGGCACCGACCUCAUCUGUCAGGUGACCUUCCCUGCAGCUGGUGUGACGGUGGAGAGGACCAUCCAGCUCAAUGUCACCUGUGCCACACGGAACCCAACAACUGGUGUCUGCCUGGGACACACCACAGGAAAAUCACGGCCUGUGGCACAACUGGUUCUGGUGGCCGCUGGGGACGCGGCGGUCAAGACCCUGGUCCUUCUUCUCUGCGUUAUCAUCCUCAUAGUGAGGUUCCUCAGGAAGGAGACAGGCAGGCCCACAGGGGGCCUGGAGGAGGCAAACACCGUCCCCAGUUAAUCCCUCAGCAUGAACGGCUAUGAUUCCUCACCAGUGUCAAGACUGAGGGGCAAAGAGGCUGGAUUUGAAGGCCUGGUGUGCUCCGUUUCCUGCUGGACCCUCCACCGAGACCUCCCCCUCUCCCUGCAUCUCGCACCAUCUCCACACCCAGCUGGGUUAGGGCUUUCCUGAGCUGAGACUUUGCAUGUGCCUUCCCUUCUCCUGAAGUGCCCUUCCCUCCCCAAUCCUGCAUCUCCAAGUCCUAAUCAUCCUCAGGCUCGGUCUUAAAGGCCACCCAGCUCUCUGUGUGUGUGUGUGUGUGUGUGUGUGUGUGUGUGUGUGUGUGUGAAUCUCACAUGAUUUUGAAUCAAGUCAUAUUCAGUUAUUAAAAGGCUCCUUCAACGACUAGUAGUGAACACUUACUAUACACCAUCUUGUUUUGGUUUGGGGCGCACAGGUGGACACAGCAAAAUCUUGGUCAUCCAGAACCUGUCAUUCUGGAGACAAGACAUCAGAAGAAAUAAAUAAGACGUGAUAUUAGAGCACUUUGGGUAGAAGAUGUGUUUGCAGAAAAAUCAUGCAAACUGAGCAGCACGUGACAUUUUGGGGACCGUGUUCUGUCAGCAAGAGUUGAGGAGGUGACAGGAUCCCCAUGGCUGUUCUGCUCAGGACCAGCCAGAGUGGGUCCACGACGGCAAGACAGAAAUGGGGAAGGGCACUGCUGGCGACUCCAGGCAGGACGUGAUGCUGGCUCCAACCAGGGAUAGUGGGGACUUAUUUUUGGAUGCAUCAGGAAGAUAAAACAGAAUUUUCUAAUGGAUGUGGGGAGUGGGGGAAGGGGAGGAGCAAGCAUGAUGCCCAGGGUCUUCCCUGAGUGUCUGGCAGGACUCAGAAGUCAAGGACUUUAGAGAUGCUCAUUCGGACAAUCGGGGAUGGAGGAGGCUAUGCCUGCCCGGUCAGCAGAGGGGUCCAGGCGAAGAUGUGAAGUCACGCAGCUAGUGGAAGGGGAUAGUCGAUGGGGAUGAAAGCGGCUGAUGGCAACAGAGAAGAGGAGGCACCUGAGAACACAUUUGUCACAGGCACCCAAGAAUGCAGAUUGGACAGAAGGGGUGGGAAAGGGGUGAAGAUGUGGUUGGAACAAGUUCUCAGCAAAGUCAGACAAGGGGAGAUGGCAGCAGGGGUUUCGAGAACCCUGUGAGGACUCUGCUGCAGAGAGGAGCAGAGCGGGGGUCUGGAGAUGAGGGCUGUUCCCUGUCCUUCUCUGCAUUUCCCCCAGAGUGGGCAUCUCUGAUUGCCCGCCUGUGUUAGCUUCCCGGGGCUGUUGUAACAAAUGCCACACGCUCGGGGGCUUGAUACAGAAGAAAUGUAAGCUCUCCCAGGGAGGUCAGAAAGCUGUGUUCAGAAGGAAACAUUUUGCUUCCCUCUGCUCUGCUGAGAUCUCCCUGGGACCCUGUAACGCCAGACAGGUGAACCAGAGGAAAGUAUACACAGGUAUUUCCUACGAGAUUUAUGUGGCACAGGAGUUUCCCAAGGAAAUGAAAACCCACAGAAAUGGCUAAACCUGAGGGGUUUUGCUCGAUUUGGUGAAGAGUGGAGAGUUGGAGCCAUCCCUGGGAGAACAAAGGGUUUGAGCUCUGGGUAGUAACUGGAGGGGCUUGAUGACACCUGCUUGCUGGAUCCUUCUAUCUGUCCAUCUGUGUUCAGACUUGUGCGGCUCCAUUCUUGUGGGGAGAGGGAAGGAAAAGUCACAAAGUCCUUCCUCCACCUGCCGUUUCUCAAAUUCCUUCAGCCUGGAAGGGUCACAAUGCCAAGGUGAUACAUCUUGGAGGCUAUGUCCUGAAUCACAGAAACCAGAAUCAGGUUUGCUGCCCAGACAUCAAGAGUGGUUGAGCUCCAUGCUCUCCAGAGGCUCAAGGAGAGAAUCCUUCUCCUGCUUCUUGGGGGUGAUGUUGGCUGUCAGCAUUCCUUAACGUGGGGUGUCACUGCUCCACUCUGGGUCUCUGUGGUCAUGUUGCCUCAUGCUGUGAGUGCAGGAAGUCACCCUCUGUUUCCCCUUUAGAAGGACACUUGGAUAGAUUUAGGACCCAACCCAGAUAAUCUAGGGUGAGCUCCACAGUCCAGAUCCCUUCAUCCCAUCUGCAAGGCCCUGUUUCCUGUAAGGGAACAACGACAGGUCCCAGGGUUUAAGCCCUGGGUAUGUUUGGGGUCAUUAUUCAGCCCACUGCAUGGCCCAAGGGAUUUUUCCACCCCUAAAUGUCCCCCAUCUGGCCCCCUGACCUUCUUUCCCUGUUCUUCCAUGUCCUGAUACACUAGUGGGUCACCUCAAGCAUGACACACGUCUUGGGGAACAGGGACCUGCUCUUCUGUAAAAGCCACUCUUAAGGGAGCUAAAAGAAAAGGGACAGAGAGAAAAGACCUACAAAUAUGUAUCUGAUGAAAGGGUCGUGUCUAGAAUAUAUCAAGGACUCUCAAGACAAAACAAGAAGUAAAGACACGAACAAAACCUAAUUGUAAAAAAAAUUGUGUCUCAGCAACAACAACAACAACAAAACCCCGAAUCAACUGUAGUUACAUAUUGGCAAUGAUUUGAAUAGAUAUUUCUCAGAAAGUAUCCCAAUGACCACUAAGCACAGGAAAAGUUGCUCAACUUCUAAACUCAUCAAAAUGCGGAUUGCAAGCGCACAACGAGAAACCCCUUCACACUCCACCAAUGCCUACUAUAAAAAAACAAAAUGGAAACCAAGAGCAGGAAUUAACAAGUGUUGGUGAGGACGCAGAGAACGUGGAAUUCCUGUGUUUUGCUCUUGAGAUUGUAAAAUGGCGCGUUUGCUGUGGAAUCAGUACGGCAGUUCCUCAAAAACGUACACAUUGAAUUACCAUAGGAUCCAGUAAUUUCACAUCUGGGCAUAUACCCAAAGGGUCAAAGGCAGGCCCUUGAAUAGCUCUUUCUACAUCCGUGUUCAUGGCUGCAUUAUUCAUAAGCGCUGAAAGGUGAAAGCAACCCAAGGGUCCACCAGAGAUGAACAGAUAAUCAAAAGGUGGUAUGUCCAUCCAACUUCACAGAAUUGAAGGUGAUAACAACGGAACGUCGCUAAGUCCAAGUGAGAAUACAUUUAAUAAUUUAAGAACCCAUCAAGAAAUCACUACCCUUCUGCUAAAAUUGCUAAAAUUUAACAGGCUGUCAACAUCCAGGGUGAAGGAGAGCGUGGAGCUAUGGAAUUCUGGAACAUGGUGGACAGGCGUGGUAAAGGUCCAAUCCAUUUCGGAGAGUAGUUUAGCAAUUUCUAUUAGUGUGAAACAUGCAGUUACUCUGUGACCCAACAAUUACACUUUGGGGGAGGGGGUCUUCUUUCUUCUUUAGCAUUUUUUAUGUCUAUUUUUUAAUUGAAGGAUGGUUGACACAAUCUUAUGUUAGUUUCACAAUUAUACUUCUUUUUUUUUUUUUUUAAGAUUUUAUUUAUUUAUUGGACAGAGAUAGAGACAGCCAGCGAGAGAGGGAACACAAGCAGGGGGAGUGGGAGAGGAAGGAGCAGGCUCAAAGCGGAGGAGCCUGAUGUGGGGCUCGAUCCCACAACGCCGGGAUCACGCCCUGAGCCGAAGGCAGACGCUUAACCGCUGUGCCACCCAGGCGCCCCCACAAUUAUACUUCUUGUAUAUACUCACGAGAAUGAAAAUACAUCCAUUAAAAGUUUCACUUUCACAUAGCCCAAACUUGAAAAUCUCCAAUGUCUAUCAGCAGGUGAAUAAAUAAAAGAUUAUAGGAUACCCAUAUAAUGGAAUAAUACUUAGUCAUCAUAUCUUAUGAACUACAGAUACACCUUGGAUCUCUUUCAAAAGUAGCAUACUAAUGCUAAGUGAAAUAAGUCAAGCAGAGAAAGACAAAUAUCAUAUGGUUUCUCUCAUCUAUGGAACAUAAGAGCUAGGAUGAUCGGUAGGGGAAGAAAGGGAUAAAGAAAGGGGGGA